AUGUUGCUGGUCUCUCGAGACGUAGCUCGUUCGUAAUAUAUUAGCAUUUCUAAUUCGAACUCGGAUUGACUCAGUGUAAUAGACUAUUCGCUGAGGACACUUUUAUUAGUGGCCGAAUGAGAUAAUUGUAGACGCUUCUAACCCCUAUAGUCAACUUUGUAUUAGACCUCAGAUCAGGCAGGAUUACCCGCUGAACUUAA
rnacentral:misc_RNA from 1 species